CCGAGCGUUUCCGGUUCCGCUACCGCCGGGGCGGCUUCGUUUUUCUCGCAGUGGCGACGUCCUCGACCGAAAUCUGUGCGUUAUGUCGGGUGGCCUCCUGAAGGCGCUGCGCAGCGACUCCUACGUCGAGCUGAGCCAGUACCGGGACCAGCACUUCCGGGGUGACAAUGAAGAACAGGAAAAAUUGCUGAAGAAAAGCUGUACAUUGUAUGUUGGAAAUCUUUCCUUUUAUACAACUGAAGAACAAAUCUAUGAACUCUUCAGCAAAAGUGGUGACAUAAAGAAAAUCAUCAUGGGCCUGGAUAAAAUGAAGAAAACAGCAUGUGGGUUCUGCUUUGUGGAAUACUAUUUAAGAGCAGAUGCAGAAAAUGCCAUGCGGUACAUAAAUGGAACUCGUCUGGAUGACCGGAUCAUUCGCACAGACUGGGACGCAGGCUUUAAGGAGGGCAGGCAGUAUGGCCGUGGGCGUUCUGGGGGCCAGGUGCGAGAUGAGUAUCGUCAGGACUACGAUGCUGGGAGAGGAGGUUAUGGAAAACUGGCCCAAAACCAGUGAGUGGUGAGAGCCCCGUCAUGAAAAACUCACUCCUUUGGCCUGUUGAAUUUGAUGUGCAUUCCCAAGGUCUGCGAACCUGCCUAUUUUUACCAAGCUUUAUUUAACAUGUCUCUACUGAGCUGGAAGGCUCUUCAUGGUUUUCCACUUAAAAACUUAUUAAAGGACAGAAUCCAAAAGAAUGCCUUUAAUUCUAUAGUCUUAACAUCUUGGUUGUGUCAGAUUACCAGAAUGAUUUCUGUUACCAGGUCAAAAAUUGUGUUCCUUAGCAACAGACUUCAUGUGUUAUGUUGCUCUAUCAGCCAAAACACACUUCUUUUAGGAAGAAUGGAAAAAAAAUUUUUAAGUGUUUACCAUGUUUGCAUCUAAGUAGGUUUAUGGUCUACCGUGGGGCCUGGAAUUACUAUUUUUAUAAUUUUAAGUUUGCAUGAGAUAAAGUUUAAUAAGUGGAGUUUUGCUGUGUAAUGUAGCUUUACUCUAAAUUAGGAAUAGAUUUUGAUAACUGAAUUUUUUUCUAUGUUGAAUUUUAACCUCUAAAGGCAAACUUAGAGUCAAGGGAACUUCCUAAAUAGUUGGGUAAGCCUUAGACAGUCGCAGGGGACACCACUUCUUAUGUGCUUUUUAUAUCAGGAAAUUAGGUCAGGACUUGAAGGGUAUUUACUAAACACAUUUUUCAAAAUAUGUUUUCGCUAACGCUAAAAAAACCAAGGGUCUGUAUUAGAGGGAACCUCAACUACUCUAAGGGCAAGGGGGGGACGCUGUCAGUAGGAAAUGGGGAGGAAAUAUCAGGAGAUGUGAGUUAAACCAGUGCCUUGACAUGAUGAAGGUUGUUAGAGCCAGCAGAUCUAUAUUUUUCAUUUUCAAACUGAUCUUGGGAAUUGAGUGGGGUUGUUUGUUUUGUUUUUUAAAAAAAGAGCUUAAAGAUCAAGAGAAUACUUAACAAAAUCAGAAAUGCUUCCCUCGGGAAAUGUUUUGGCUCAUUCUCAUACUGAAGUCUGUCUUGUUUUUUCCCUAGCUAACUGUGCUGAGUUUCAGAGCCUGGGUAGUGAGCUGGUGGUCUCUACAGAGAAGGCAGUCUGGAGGAUUUAUUUUGCAUUUGUAAGGCAAGAGAGAAUUUCUCUAAUAUUAUGUGAACUAUUGCUCAUUUUAAACUGGUAGUCUAGUAUUUUCCCUGAUGUAAGUGAUAUUUUUUCAUCUAGCAACAAAGUAUCUCCUAAUUUCCAGUAGUUUGUGAAGUUGGGGCUGAAGUAUCUCAGUUGAACAUCUUUCAUGUUACAAGCAACUAUAUCAGCAGCAGCUGCCCCCAGGAUGAAAUGACUGAAUUUAUUUGCCCCAGCAGGCAGUGGGAAAUUGGGCAGCCAGAUGAUGAAACUAAAGAUUAAAGGAAUUAAGUAAUUCACCCAAGGUCUUACAACCAGUUAAGUGGCUGAACCAGGAUCUGAACCCCAAAAAUCUUAUAUGUUCCGGUAUAAUGUUAUGAUAAACAUGGAUUGGUAAUGCAGUAGAAAAGCCCUACCUGGAUCUUCAAGGACAACCCUAAUGACAAUGUCUCACUGAUGCACACACCAUUAUCUCACUAGGACCAGAAGUAAACAACAGUUAAAACGCGCUCAUACUGAAGCCGGCGUGCCUAGAGCCUGUGCUCCACAACAAGAGAAGCCACUGCAAUGAGAAGACUGCGCACUGCAACAGAGUAGCCCCUGCUCUCCUCAACUAGAGAAAACCCGUGCACAUCAACGAAGACCCAAUGCAGCCAAAAAUAAAUACAUAAUUUUAAAAAAAAAAGCACUCAUAAGCCAAGCACUAGCAUACCUCGUUUCAUCCUUAUAACUAUCCUAUGUGUUAGACAGUAUCCCUACUUUAAAAAUGGAGACAGGCGGCUUAAGGAGGUUAAAUAACUUCCCCAAGGACCCUUAACUAGCAUAUGGCAGAAAUCAGGUUCUGACUGUAGGUUAUGUGACAACAGAAACUGAGCCGUUAACGUCUAUGCUGUGCCACCUCCAAUGCAGGAAAUAUCUAUUAUCUCUUCUCUAUAAAACAACUUUGUUCUUCAUUUUACCUUUCCCUUCUAAUACCCAUGGGCCAAGAGUAACCCAAAAAACAGACUUCUUAAAAUGAGAGUUACAGAAUUCCCUGGAGGUCCAAUAGUUAGGAUUCCACGCUUCCACUGCAGGGGGCAGUGGUUCUAUCCCUGGUUGGGGAACUAGAUCCCACUUGCUGCAGGGCUCAGCCAAAAAAUUAAAAUAAAAUGAGAGUUAAAUUCACUAUUUAUCCACUUGUUUUCACCAAACCAAUGAACCAACAAGGAAAAUGCAUUUGGAAUAUACAAUUUCUUUUAUUCCAGAAGUACUAAAAUUUUAGUAGGACCUAGAAGCAAAGGAUAAAAUAUUAGGAAAAAACAAAACCAUGAAAAAUUGGAGUUCAAAUUAUAUUCCAUCUUGUAAGUACAAAAGGUAAUAAUGUGAAAAACAAAAACUGAGGUGUUUUUUAGAAGUUAAAUUACUCAUCAUGUUAAACCAACUGUGUUAGACAGCUUUUUCUUGCAACAACUGAUAUGGGUCACUUGGAUCACAUCCCACCCUGAAAGUGGAAGGGGUUCAUUGUGUUGUGCACAUAUGAAAUGCAACCACUUGGUUCUCCAACAAGAUACAAUACACAUGUCAGAAAGGUCCCAUCAAAAAUAAGAAAGGCACAAAAUAUCUAAGAAUAAACUUAAGGAAUGUGCUUAAGUUUAUUAAACUUAUUAAACAAGUGAAAAGCACUACCAAAUUCUAGUAAGGGACACAGAUCAAUAAAUGGAGUAAUUCUUUGGUUUUUAGACAGGAAAACUCCAUAUUAAAAUGAAUGCAAUUUCCCCUAAAUUAGUCUAUUAAUGUAAUGCAAUACCAAUCAAAAGCCACUGUUUGUUCAUUGGUUUAAUUGAAAAACCAAAUCCAAAUUCAUCUUGGGACAAAAAUGUGAGAAAUUCUUAGAAAUUUUUGAAAAAGAUUAAGGAGGAGAGGUGAAUAGGGGCAAAAGAGAAGAGGAGAAGGAGGGCCUAAUCCCAUCAAAUUAUAAAACCAAAUAACAGUGAUUGAAGCAGAAUAGUGCUAUCACAGAAACAGAGAAACCAACCAGAUAGGAAUCAGAAUGGCAGGCAGCAUCUCAUAAUCAUGGGAAAAAGAUGAAUUAAUCAAUAAAUAGUAUUAGAACUACCAAGUAAAUCUUUUGUUCACAGUUGAAAUUCAUUUUGGUGUAAAGAAUGUAGGAAUCCGGGCUUCCCUGGUGGUGCAGUGGUUGAGAGUCCGCCUGCCGACGCAAAGGACACAGGUUCGUGCCCUGGUCCAGGAAGAUCCCAUAUGCCACAGAGCGCCUGGGCCCAUGAGCCAUGGCCACUGAGCCUGCGCGUCCGGAGCCUGUGCUCCGCAACGGG